AUUCCAGCUCCAAUAGUGUAUAUUAAAGUUGUUGCAGUUAAAAAGCUCGUAGUUGGAUUUCUGGCGGGAGCGAUCGGUCCUUCACUCAGUGUUGGAACCUGAUUGUCUCCUGCCAUCCAUGGAGAAAACUUAUCUGGCAUUAAGUUGUCGGGUAGGCAAUCUCCAUCUUUUACUGUGAAAAAAUUAGAGUGUUCAAAGCAGGCUUAUGCCGUUGAAUAUAUUAGCAUGGAAUAAUAAGAUAGGACCUGUGUUCUAUUUUGUUGGUUUCUAGGACGUAGGUAAUGAUUAAUAGGGACAGUUGGGGGCAUUAGUAUUUAAGUGUCAGAGGUGAAAUUCUUGGAUUGCUUAAAGACUAACUUCUGCGAAAGCAUUUGCCAAGGAUGUUUUCAUUA
rnacentral:rRNA from 1 species